rnacentral:lncRNA from 1 species
UUAGCUGUUUAAUCAUUGUCCAAAUGGUUUCUCAUUUUUCAUAUAUGAUAAUAUAAAACACUAAUAUUCUAAAAAAGUCUAACCUAUUCAAAAAAAUUAAAAAUGAUAUGAUCAGUUAAAAAUAUAUUUUUUAACAUAAAUUUCAAAUCUCUGUUAUUUCUGUUAAACUUUGUUUGUUGANNNNNNNNAAAUAAACACAAAAAACUAAUAUAAAAAUUAAAAAUUAUAAAAAUAUAAACGUGUCAUUAAAAUGAUUAUAAUUAAAAGUUCAAAAAACAAAAAUAAAAAUUAUCUUAUUUUCCAUAACUUCCUCCUCCAUUUGAUCAUCCCACCGACCCACCUCUCUGCUUCCUCCUCUCAGCUUCUCUUGUCAUUCACAUCCCCUUUUUUUUUCCUCUCGAGUCUCAUAUAUCUCUUUUCUUCGCUAUUUCCCCUCCUCUCUCUUCCUCCUCCUACCUGCUUUUUUCGUUCCACCAUCUCCCCUUUCUUCCCUCUUGCUUAGUUCUUCUCACCUUUUUUGAUUCUCCACCUACAUCCUUUCUUGUUAGAUCUUUCUUUUUUUUUAGAUCCUUCUUUUUUUUUCUUUAGAUAUAUAUCUAUUGAACAACUUAUUUAGAUUUUGAGAUAAUUAAGAAUUAAUCUUCCAUCAUCAAAUAUCCCGCGGGAUCGCAUAUCACAACACCGAUACAGCCAAAGUUGAGCUUCGACAACCAUUAACCCUCUCCUUGCUAACCAAACCCUUCAAAUACAACCUAAAACACUGCUUUCACUAGUCCAACUACUCCUGGCAGUGGUUCUAGAGGAUUCUUCCCCAAACGGCCUUUGGAAGUCAUUCCCCAGUCAAGAAAUGACAUCAUCGAAGAUUGGGUGAGGUCGGGAGAGAGAACCGUUGCGAGCAAGGAAGACGGAAGAGUUUAUGGCUUUUGGAGACAGGGACAAAGGCGAUUCUAAUUUUUAUUUUUUAUUUUUUUAGUUUUUUAAUUAAAAUAUUAUUAUAAUAUGAUGUGGAGAUAAGUCCGUAGAUAUCUCAAAAUUUGACUGUUAAGUUGACAAUAUGAUAUGAAGAUAAGUCGGUAGACAUCUCAAUAUUGUUAAAUUUGACUGUUAAGUUAACGAUCAAACACAAUGUUGACCAACUUUUAUUAAGAUUGACAAAAAUUCGUGCUAUAAAAAGUUAAUGUUUCAAGAAGGCUCAAA